rnacentral:lncRNA from 1 species
AACCAAUAAUGAAAGAAAUGGAAGUCGACUAGCUGUUUACUAAAAUUUAAAAGUGAAUAUACAUCAAGAUUAAGCUCCUGUAAGGAAUCGAAUAGGACGUCGAAAAGGACGAAACAGAAAGCUGAGAAUUUGCAAGAAUUAUAGAUAGGAUGGCUGAAAAAGUCAACUAUUACAUGAUUACACACAAGGGCAUUUCCUUAUCAACCAUAUACUGACACUUCCCAUCGCGUGAACCCUUACCAGACUACACUUGUUUAAAGGAAGAAAUGAGCAAAGGAUCCACCAUGGAUCGGCAUGAAUGGAUGUUCCCUUUCUCAGUGGUCUAAGGAAACAAGACUGAAAGCAGGCUUGCAGAAAUAACAGCAGAUCAAAAUCUGGUGUGGCAGGAUGACAAGUAAAGGUAAAAGCAAAGAAGUCAAGCACCGUCAUAAUCCGUCAAGUGCAGCACAACAAUGAAAAAUGCAGACUGUGUUCUUUAAAGCAAAAACACUGAUUUAUUUCUCGUCCAAUCUUCAGCGAAUUUGGUAUAGAUAUGUGUUCAACAAACCCUGUUGGCUUAAUAAGUGAAGAAGUUAUGUGUUUUAUGACAAUAAUAGUUUAGUCAAUAAGCGAAGCGAACAUUUGCAGCGCUGUUCUACAACAGUACAAAAAGACCAUGUCAGGACGUGUUACUGCCUGUAUCAGCACAAGAAGUGGCAUAAACAUUAUUGCUUCACUAUUAAUUUUGUUAAGUUUAUAACACACCUGAGCACAAAGUGCUCCGUGAAGGCUAUUGUGGUUUCGCUGUGUCCGUCAGCAAACAAUUGAAACGAUAAUACUAUAGUAAUCACAAUGUUAAUUUAAUUGUUCAUUAUGUUACCCUUAAGGUAGUUCUGCACAUUUGAAAAAACGGAAGUGGUGAUGUAAUGUCAUUUAUCCGGAAAACGUAGAAUAAAGCCUUGAUUCGGCGUACGGAAACGAAAAUCAUUUCAUAAACCAAUAGCAA